AUCAAGGAUACAACAUACAUGAAGUUGUCACAUCUCUUUAAGCUCAUCUUAGCAGCCACUAUUCCUCAGAACUUUCUUUGGCUUUGAUGACCUUUUCAGUUUUUGAGAAGUAUUGGUCAGUGAAAUUUUGAGAUACCGGGGCAUGAUAUUCAUCUCGAAAUAUUGAAAUUGUUGGCAAAAUCUGUUGGAACAUAUUUCCUGGCAAAAGAGAAAGUAUGAACAUAAGAUGAAGUGAAUGUUAUCUUGGGGACAAAAAAGCAAGUUCAAUCUCCAACUCUAAGAAUUUAUUGAGUUAGCGGCAGCUACUUAUCGCGUUUUCUGUUUACUACUUUGCUUCUAAAUUUUACAUAUAUGUUUACGUCUGUAUUCAAACCAACUUAUAGGAAUAAUACACAUU